CGCGGAGGAAAAGAAACUANCAAGGAUUCCCUAGUAACGGCGAAGUGAAGCGGGAAGAGCUCAAAUUUGAAAUCUGGUAGCCUUCGGUUGCCCGAGUUGUAAUCUAGAGAAGUGUUUUCCGUGCCGGCCCAUGUACAAGUCCCUUGGAACAGGGCGUCAUAGAGGGUGAGAAUCCCGUCCUUGACAUGGACCCCCGGUGCUUUGUGAUACACUUUCAACGAGUCGAGUUGUUUGGGAAUGCAGCUCAAAAUGGGUGGUGAAUUCCAUCUAAAGCUAAAUAUUGGCGAGAGACCGAUAGCGAACAAGUACCGUGAGGGAAAGAUGAAAAGCACUUUGGAAAGAGAGUUAAACAGUACGUGAAAUUGUUGAAAGGGAAACGAUUGAAGUCAGUCAUGCUCUUGGGACUUACNUCCCUUGAGUGGGGUCAACAUCAGUUUUGAUCGAUGGAUAAAGGCACGRGGAAGGUAGCACUCUCGGGUGAACUUAUAGCCUCGCGUCAUAUACAUUGAUUGGGACUGAGGAACGCAGCAUGCCUUAUGGCCGGGAUUCGUCCACGUACAUGCUUAGGAUGUUGACAUAAUGGCUUUAAACGACCCGUCCAAAA
rnacentral:rRNA from 1 species